GAAAUGCGAUAAGUAAUGUGAAUUGCAGAAUUCAGUGAAUCAUCGAAUCUUUGAACGCACAUUGCGCCCGCCAGUAUUCUGGCGGGCAUGCCUGUUCGAGCGUCAUUUCAACCAUCAAGCCCCCCGGCUUGUGUUGGGGACCUGCGGCUGCCGCAGGCCCUGAAAAGCAGUGGCGGGCUCGCUGUCACACCGAGCGUAGUAGCAUACAUCUCGCUCUGGGCGUGCUGCGGGUUCCGGCCGCUAAACCACCUUCGUAACCCAAGGUUGACCUCGGAUCAGGUAGGAAGACCCGCUGAACUUAAGC
rnacentral:misc_RNA from 1 species